GGGAUUUAUUUGUUAAAGUGGC
rnacentral:siRNA from 1 species